GCCCCUAAUGUUAUAUUUUCUUUCUGUUUUCCACAUCUUACAGACGAUUGUUUAACAGCACCAGUGAUUUUACUCUUUCCUUUAUUGGCAACCUUCGGUGGUAACAUUAGCUUCUUACCAUCAACUUCAGCAACAUCAUCGUCAUUAUCAUCAUCAUCGCCUUUACAAUCAUCCUCUAAUUGUCUAAUCAUCCUCUCCUCAUGCUCUCUUUGUUUAGAGCUAUACGGAUUGAAAUCUGCUUCCAUUUCUCUAGCUCUCCUUUUCUUUUCAACAUUCCCCUGAAGAUUCAGAAGCAUUUGAUGACGAACAUCCGGAGGACAUUUGCGACAUUGUUCCACUUCUCCUUUAGUUCCAGCUAAAUGUUGCUUGAAUCGAUUAAUACCUCCACCCGCAAAAACUUUGGCACAAUAUAAGCAUACUAAUUUGGUUUUCUUACAUCCCACACUAAGUUCAGGAGCUUUUCUGCAAUGACCCCAUGCUAAAUCUGUUUUUCCUCUUAUACC
rnacentral:lncRNA from 1 species